UACGAAGGGGGCUAGCGUUGCUCGGAAUUACUGGGCGUAAAGGGCGCGUAGGCGGGUCGUUAAGUUGGGGGGUGAAAGCCCAGGGCUCAACCCUGGAAUUGCCUUCAAUACUGGCGACCUUGAGUAUGGCAGAGGUGUGUGGAACUCCGAGUGUAGAGGUGAAAUUCGUAGAUAUUCGGAAGAACACCAGUGGCGAAGGCGACACACUGGGCCAUUACUGACGCUGAGGUACGAAAGCGUGGGGAGCGAACAGG
rnacentral:rRNA from 1 species